AGGAGGUGUCUUCAAAAGCAUCAAGGAAAAAAUAUCAAAAUUUGCCGUGGUGCCCAGCAUGGUUCAAGAUCAUAAGUGUCAAGCACAUCAGGGCAGGAAUCUUCUGUUCCAUAUGCAACAUCUUCUGGCAGCCUUGUCCUUUUUCUGUCCUUGUCGACUACAAUAACAAACAGCUGUUGCCAAGGCAUUGCUGUUGAUGUGGUACCUUUGAAACCUCCCUCCUGUUAUGGAAUAAGCCUCUUCCAGAUCAUGGAUCAUUAUCAUCUAGUCUGACAAGCAGCCUUGUUGCCACGGAGACCCGAAGGGAUCAGGCGUGGCAUUUGCCUGCAUCAUCACCCCCUCCAGGGGAACAACAAGGACUCUUCUGUGCGUCAUGCGUGGCUGUCCUGGGGCUGGCUGCCACCAGACUUUUCCUGAGGGUAAAACCUAAACAAAUGAUCAGCUGCAGAUAAUAUCAAGACCUCUGUUUGAUAUGUUAAUAGUGACAGCCAUAUUUCCACAAUUAACAAUGAGGUGGGAAGAAAACACUGUAGUCACCAGACUUGGGAGGAGAGGGUUUGUAUUCACAUAAACACAACCUCACGUCACUGCUUGCCACCACAAAGGGCUCUGUUCACUGUUUUGUUCUCAAAGAUCAUCCUUGUGCUCAUCCUCUGAUCUUGAAUUUCUACAUAACUUUCUCAGUUUAUAUGCCCUGUGGCAAGUGCAACAAGCACUGUUUCCUGUUUCUAAACUUGUAGAAAAUCAUCUAUACAUCUUACAGUUGUCAGUUUUAACCAGAUAACUGUGGCACUUUGUUGCUGCUUUUUUAUCUUUAGCUUAGGUUAACAGGACCCUGGAAGUAAAGUUGUUGAUUUAUUCAAUAGAGUAUUCUCAAUUAAUUUGGCUAGAUUUCUACAUGAUGAUUCAAAAUCUAAAAAAGUAGAAAUGCAUGCUUAUAUGUCUAAGGCCUGAAAAAUUGGUGGUGACAUCCCAAAAUAAAUGAAGAUUUUAAAACAA
rnacentral:antisense_RNA from 1 species